UUAGGGUGGCGGCUGUUGAUUUUUUUAGGGUUUCUUUGUUUUAUUUUGUUGUUGGGCUAGGGUUUGUUAUUGGGUAUUGGGCUGUUUUGUUUUGGGUUUGGGGUUAUUUAUUAGUUUUUGUAUUUUAAUUGUGUUUAGGCAAAAUAGGCCUAUUACAGUUUGUUUUUGACAUUACUCUGUGAGUUGGAAAUUACUGUUAGUGUGCCUUGAGUUCUCCUUAAUUGUUCAUUUUUUUCCGUUUAAAUGGAGAUUCUGAGAGGAGUAUUCCUUCGAAAAUUUAAAUUUUGUUUAGGGGCUGAGCGAUCUGUGGUAAGUGAAUGUUUU
rnacentral:lncRNA from 1 species